UGGGAGCGGCAGACGGGUGAGUAACGCGUGGGGAUCUACCCAUUGGUACGGAAUAACCCAGGGAAACUUGGACUAAUACCGUAUGUGCCCUUCGGGGGAAAGAUUUAUCGCCAAUGGAUGAACCCGCGUCGGAUUAGCUAGUUGGUGAGGUAAAGGCUCACCAAGGCGACGAUCCGUAGCUGGUCUGAGAGGAUGAUCAGCCACACUGGGACUGAGACACGGCCCAGACUCCUACGGGAGGCAGCAGUGGGGAAUAUUGGACAAUGGGCGCAAGCCUGAUCCAGCCAUGCCGCGUGAGUGAUGAAGGCCUUAGGGUUGUAAAGCUCUUUCGCCGGUGAAGAUAAUGACGGUAACCGGAGAAGAAGCCCCGGCUAACUUCGUGCCAGCAGCCGCGGUAAUACGAAGGGGGCUAGCGUUGCUCGGAAUCACUGGGCGUAAAGCGCACGUAGGCGGAUCGUUAAGUCAGGGGUGAAAUCCUGGGGCUCAACCUCAGAACUGCCCUUGAUACUGGCGAUCUCGAGUUCGAGAGAGGUUGGUGGAACUCCGAGUGUAGAGGUGAAAUUCGUAGAUAUUCGGAAGAA
rnacentral:rRNA from 1 species